rnacentral:rRNA from 1 species
GACAGAGGGUGCAAACGUUGCUCGGAAUCACUGGGCGUAAAGGGCGUGUAGGCGGGGAGGUAAGUCGGGCGUGAAAUCCCUGGGCUCAACCCAGGAACUGCACUCGAAACUACUUUUCUUGAGUGCCGGAGAGGAAAGCGGAAUUCCUGGUGUAGAGGUGAAAUUCGUAGAUAUCAGGAGGAACACCAGUGGCGAAGGCGACUACCUGGCCUGUUCUUGACGCUGAGGCGCGAAAGCUAGGGGAGCAAACGGG